AAUGACGAUGAAAGAAAAUCAUUCAGAUUUCUGGCUGCACAUUGUCAAUUAAACUCAUAGUUUAUUUUUACUCUCUUCAAAACCUUGUUAGAAAAAGGAAGAAUGUUGUAAGCCCACAAGGACAGGAAGAGUAGCAACAACAUUUGGAAGCUAGAACGCUGAAGAAAGUUUGUUGCUUACUUCACAGAUUAGAGACAGCUGAAAUCUAAGCAGGUUUCUUUGCAUCAGCCUCCUCAGGAGGCAACCCAGGGGGAUGAUGCAAAGGAAAGAAGUUCAGUAAUUUUAGGUGCCAGGUAACUGAAAGUGGGGUGAAGGUAGGACUAAAUAUAGACUGUUUGACAUAUAGAAUAAAAGGCAACUAGAAUCCUAGAUCACUCUCCCAUCCCGUUUCCACCUGAGAAGAUGACUAGAGGCCAGAUUCCCUGGAGAGACGAAACUAGGAAGAAUUGGGUACCAGGGAUGCCAGCUACAGCUGAGGUGGGUAUGAGACUGUACUGAAGACACUCUACAUACUGGGUGGCUCCCUUUUCUGUAAGCUCCUAGAAUAUUGGCCACUAGACUUAAACUCUCCAGGCAGGAGAUUGAAUGACUCUUCUCUGAAUAAAUUGAUUAGCCAAAGAGAAAAGCUAUAACAUAGAGUUAGAAGUCAGUCCCACAGUCAAACUGCAUAUCCAGAUCAACCCACCGUGAAAUUCAGUCAACAAGCUCCACUCGUAAUCACACAAUCAAUCCAAUCACACUUUUCAGUGUUUCCCUAAAAUAUAAGCAAGGGAUCAAGGACAAUAAAACAUUUGAGAAAAGCCUCUAAACAAGGUUUUACUAAUCUCAACGCUACUAAUAUUUGGGGCUGGAUAAUCCUUGUUGUGCCGGGCACAGUGGCUCAUGCCUGUAAUCCCAGCAUUCUGGGAGGCCAAGACAGGAAGAUCACUUGAACAUAGGAGUUUGAGACCAGCCUGGACAACAUGGACAAACCCCAUCUCUACAAAAAAUAAAAAAAAUUAGCCAACGAUGUUGGUGUACGCUUGUAGUCCCAGGUACUUGGGAGGCUGAGACAGAAGUAUAACCUGACCCUGGGAAGGUUGAGGUUGCAGUAAGCCAUGAUCGUGCCACUGGACUCCAGGCUGGGUGACAGAGUGAGACCCUGUCUCAAAAAAAGAAAGAAAGAAAAAAAGAAAAAGCAGGAGGUAAUAGAAAAGAAACAUUCAGGAAUAAAAAAAAUCCUCUCAGAAAUUAAAUAAUGUCAACAGAAAGAAAAAUAAAUAAAAGUGUUGAAAGAUAAUGUUGCAGAAAUUUCCCAGAAAAAUAGAGCCAAAAAGUCAAAGAGAUAGAAAAUUGUAGAGAAAGAAAACAGGAAUUUGAGCAUAAUUUUGGAAGACUUAAGGUCCAGCUAGUAGAUAUCCUUCAAAUAAUAGGAGGGAACAGUGAGAUAGAUAUAGGGGAGGAAAGUUUCAAAUAAGCUGUUUGGUAUGGUUUCCUGUGUCCCUACCUAAAUAUCCUCUUGAGUCGUAAUAAAUAGCACAUGGGAAGGGCAGGGCGAGGUGGAGAUAAUUGAAUCAUGGGGGUGGUUUCUCCCAUACUGUUCUCAUGGUAGCGCAUAAGUCUCAAAAGAUCUGAUGGUUUUAUAAAUGGGAGUUCCCCUGCACAAGUUCUCUUUUGCCUUCCGCUAUGUAAGACGUGCCUUUGCUUCUCCUUUGGCUUUCACCAUGAUUAUGAGGCCUUCCCAGCCAUGCUGAAUGGUGAGUACAUUAAACCUGUUUCCUUUAUAAAUUACCCAGUUGGGUAUGUCUUUGUUUGCAGCACGAGAAUGAACUAAUACACUCUCUUCAAGAAAAACGUCCACAAUGGAAGGAUAUGAAUUUCUAGAUUGAAAGGACUUAUAAGGAAUCAAAUACAUGAAACUCCGAGCAGUUGAGACAAAGCAGCCCUAAAAGCUUCCAGGAGAAAAUAUUGUUCACGUAAAAGGGUCAGAAUUUAGAAUGACAUAAGCCUUCUAGAAGCUGGAAAACAAUGGAGUGAUGCCAUCAAAACCCUGAAUAAAUUUCCACAAACCAAACUAGUAUUCAAGUGUGAAGGUGCAAUAAAGACAUUUUCAGACAUGCAAGAUCUUGUAAAACUUACCUUCCAUGCUCCACUUCUUCAGUGAAGAUACUGGGAAAUAUGCUCCGUCAUAACUAGGAAGUAAACUUUUUUUCUCAUUCAUGUGUUCAGUGGAGGUCAGGUAUGAUUACGGAGGCUCUGAUGGGCUCCCCAAAUCCCAUUAUGAGUCCUUACCAGUCAGCCACUCAGUGGAGAGUGAAGAAACCCCACUUAAGCUUGUUUGAGGAAGAGGAAAAUCUGUUGCUGCAGGCAUCUGAAAAGUCCAGGGGAUAUGAGCAUCAGAAUGCUCAUGUUUGGAACCCUAUGUCCAAGUUGUAAGGAAGCCCAAGCAGCCCACGAAGAGGCCCACGUUAAGAAGAACCAGGGCCCUGACCCACAGUCUAAGUGAACUCUCAGCUAACAGCACCAUUUUGCCAACCAUAAGACACCUGGAAUCUCAUAUCUGCUUCUGCAUUCAAUCUAUUGCACCAAGUUGUUUUGACUGAAGGGUAUGAAGAAAAACUGGCCUCAUCCAAAUAUGUGGUUGGAAAAGGGUGGAGUAUUUUAACAGCCCUUCAAAUAAUUGUUUAAACAUGUCCUUUACAAAACAACAUGAUAAGUUAAAUAAUUCUAAGGAGGAAAUCAACUGGGUAAUUGCCUUCAAUCCUUCCCUUUGGGGAUCCUGCACCACUAGCUGGAGCUCAGAGAGACAGUGAGCAAAGGAUAAAGAUGCCAGUGACUAUUGAAAACAUCAGAAGCUCACACACAGAGUAGGGUCCCAGUGAUCAAGCUUUGUCUCCAGCAUCAGUUUAACCUCUAUUCUUGGAAGGGACACCGGAGGCGACUGAUUCCAACCCCUCUACUUGAAAACUGAAAGAUGCAAAGCACAGGGUAGGGGAUGACAUGCUCAAGGCCCCAUCACCAGUUGGAGGCAGACCUGCAUAGAACUUGGGACAUGAAUGUAGGCACACACAAAACCCAGAGACAUUCCACCAACAUUUAAAAUCAAGAAUCCUCCCUGAUAUAUUUUGACCUUGUAAAUGACGCAAAGGGUUUGAACAAUUCAAAACAAACAAACAAACAAAAAAACAGGUCUAGGAUAAGUUUUUUCAAAAUCAUCAAAUAUAAAUUUCAAUCCAGUUUUUUAAUUUCAUAAAACCAAAGCCAAAAGAGGUUGAGUGAUUAGUUAAAGGUUAUGGGCAAGUGAUGGUAACGUCGAGCCUCUAAUUCAUGCAUUUGCCAAGCUCUAGCUUUGAAUGAUAUUGUAACUUGAAAGGAAUAAUGUUGUUCUUUUUAGAAAAUAACAUGGUCAUGGUAGACCACUUGGAAAAAUAUACAUAAACAUAAGGACAAAGUGACCCAUACGUUAAAGAUAAUCACUGUUAAUAUUUUUAUUAAAUGAAAAGCAUUACAUUUAACUUUACCUAAGCUUAUCAGAAAAAAAGAAUUAAAGAGGGUAGGUAUGGUGGCUCAUGCCUAUAAUCCCAGCACUCUGGGAGGCAAAGGUGAGAGGAUCACUUGAGCCCAGGAGUUUGAGACCAGCCUGAGCAACAUAGGAAGACCCCAUCUCUACAAAACAAACAAACGAAAACGAGGUGGGCAGAGUGGCAUGCACUGGUGGUCCCAACUACUUAGGAGCCUGAGGUGGGAGGAUCAUUUGAGCCUGGGAAGUUGAGGCUGCAGUGAACCAUGAUCAUGCCAGCCUGGGGAAUAGAGUGAGACCUUGUGUAAAAUAAAAUAAAAUAAGAAAUAUAAGAAAUAUGAGAAAUUGCUGACUUUCAGAAAAAGAUUUCUUUAAAACAAGAAAUAUUCAUUUCCUGAAGGAGUCUUCUAUACUUUAAAUACAAAUCUCAAGAAAAAUAAAUUUAUGUUUCUAGGUGUAAAGUCUGUCAUCUGUCUUAAGAAAAUCAGAAGAUGUUAUAAUACUGAUAUCUAAAUAAAAUUUUAAGACUUCUAUUCACUAAUUUAAAAACAACCUGAGCCUACUUAAGAAUAAAAUAAUGGAAAAGGGCAAAUUUAUAAAAUAUUAUAUAAAAGUAACAAAAGCAGUGGUAGAAAAAAAGAGCCACAUAGAGAAGUAACUAUAAUGGUCAUAUAUGCAAUAAACAAAAAAUAAAUUUAGAAGAACAGUCAGUGACUCUCUUAAUUCUUACUCUAAGUUUCUUGACCUGUGGGAGUUUGGAUUUGCUGUUUCAGAAAACACCAUUUUAUUCACUUCAUUAACAGCACAAAUUUUUACUUGUUUCAUUAAAUAAUCACGUCUGUCUCAUUUUUUUCCUCCUAAAAUUCCUAAAUGCGUUUCUACUGUUGUUGAAGAGAGCAGACAUAAGCCAUUAUCUCAUUGGUAACUCCACAAAAUUGUACUUCCAGGUUCCUAAUUCUAUCAUUUGUGUUAUUAUAUUAAAUGUGUUCUUUAAUAAAGUCACUCAUCAUAGAACCCUC